rnacentral:rRNA from 1 species
CUGCCCUUCACUCUGGGACAAGCCCUGGAAACGGGGUCUAAUACCGGAUACGACCUCCGACCGCAUGGUCUGGUGGUGGAAAGCUCCGGCGGUGAAGGAUGAGCCCGCGGCCUAUCAGCUUGUUGGUGGGGUGAUGGCCUACCAAGGCGACGACGGGUAGCCGGCCUGAGAGGGCGACCGGCCACACUGGGACUGAGACACGGCCCAGACUCCUACGGGAGGCAGCAGUGGGGAAUAUUGCACAAUGGGCGAAAGCCUGAUGCAGCGACGCCGCGUGAGGGAUGACGGCCUUCGGGUUGUAAACCUCUUUCAGCAGGGAAGAAGCGAGAGUGACGGUACCUGCAGAAGAAGCGCCGGCUAACUACGUGCCAGCAGCCGCGGUAAUACGUAGGGCGCAAGCGUUGUCCGGAAUUAUUGGGCGUAAAGAGCUCGUAGGCGGCUUGUCGCGUCGGAUGUGAAAGCCCGGGGCUUAACCCCGGGUCUGCAUUCGAUACGGGCAGGCUAGAGUUCGGUAGGGGAGAUCGGAAUUCCUGGUGUAGCGGUGAAAUGCGCAGAUAUC